rnacentral:rRNA from 1 species
GAGUUUGAUCCUGGUUCAGAUUGAACGCUAGCGGGAUGCUUUACACAUGCAAGUCGAACGGCAGCACGAGAGAGCUUGCUCUCUUGGUGGCGAGUGGCGGACGGGUGAGUAAUAUAUCGGAACGUGCCCAGUAGCGGGGGAUAACUACUCGAAAGAGUGGCUAAUACCGCAUACGCCCUACGGGGGAAAGGGGGGGAUUCUUCGGAACCUCUCACUAUUGGAGCGGCCGAUAUCGGAUUAGCUAGUUGGUGGGGUAAAGGCUCACCAAGGCAACGAUCCGUAGCUGGUCUGAGAGGACGACCAGCCACACUGGGACUGAGACACGGCCCAGACUCCUACGGGAGGCAGCAGUGGGGAAUUUUGGACAAUGGGGGAAACCCUGAUCCAGCCAUCCCGCGUGUAUGAUGAAGGCCUUCGGGUUGUAAAGUACUUUUGGCAGAGAAGAAAAGGUACCUCCUAAUACGAGGUACUGCUGACGGUAUCUGCAGAAUAAGCACCGGCUAACUACGUGCCAGCAGCCGCGGUAAUAC